rnacentral:misc_RNA from 1 species
GAGAGAGAGAGAGAGAGAGAGGGCAGAGCAGAGAAAAUGCCUUACGUGAUCAGCAAAUAUAGGCGUACAUCUUCCUACACGUAUGGGCAUAUUUUGCUGGGUACAAAUUAAAUGUAACCAAAAAGAGUCGCAUAGCAACAACAACUGGUACAAACAAGCUCCUCCAAUACAAUCCUUAAAAUUAGACUAAUACAUACAAUUGAAGCAUAAAAGCAACAAGGUAAACAAUUGUGGGUAAAUCAUCUCUAUGGAUAAAAUUAUAGUGGGUGGACCACAUAAAACUUUUAGAAAUCAACAAUAUGAAAUUAUAUGUAGCCACUUAAACACAGUUGAAAGCCAAGAUUUCACAUCCGUUGCCGUUUAACUUCCAGAGUCUUAGAGCUGACAAAUAACACACUGUAUAAAAACUUCUACUACAAUUAUUUCAUCCUAUGUAAUGCACACUCAACAGAAUCUUCAAUUCACAGAACUUGUAAACAAACUGGCAUCGAAAUCUCACACAUCAAUAAUCAUCAAUUGAAUCUCUUUUUUUUUAUUCUUAGGUGUACCGACAGUAACAAACUUUUUAUUUUUUUGCUGGCAUGGGAACAGCUACUUCAAAACAGUGCUACAACUAGAAGCUAAAAACACAAAGAAUUGACAUAAUAAUGCAUAACCUUAUUGAACCAAGGAUCAUGGA